CGGGCACCUGGGCAGACGGAGGAGGGGCAAGCGGAGGAGCGGCUGGCACAGGCAGAGGAGGAUAAUUACCUUCAGCAGACAAAGAUACAUAAAACCACAGAUGCCGAACCUGCAACGCUUUCGCGAUGUCUGACGGACGGCUGCCUAGGCAAUACCACCAGGAAUUCCUUUUGCCCAACCAAGCGUAGCUUUCGCUGCGUCUUAAUGGCAGGCCCCCAGACCAGAGAAUAAAGAACCUUACCUCUCACCAGGGGUCGUUGUGAGCGGCGAGGGUCGCGGCUCCGAUGGGCUCCCCGAGAAAUCACCCGGUGCCGGCUGGAGCGUGAUCGGGUCGCGGGGUCCUGGCUGCGCCCACAAGGUCCCGUCCUGGGUCGCCAAAAAUGUUAGCGUAGGAAAACAUAUAACCACACAGAGGCGAUCAUAUGCGGUUCUUUAUUCCAGCGCGCGGGACACCGGGGUGAUAAUACACCCAAAUCUGAUGUCCAAAGCAUACAGAGUCGAUUCGUGAUUUUUAUAGUUUAAAUUAUACACAUGUUAACUAACCCCCACCCCUAGA